GACGAACGCUGGCGGCGUGCCUAAUACAUGCAAGUCGAGCGCAGGAAGCAGACGGAUUCCUUCGGGAUGAAGACUGUGGAAUGAGCGGCGGAUGGGUGAGUAACACGUGGGCAACCUGCCUGUAAGCUUGGGAUAACUCCGGGAAACCGGUGCUAAUACCGAAUGACCCUAUUGUUCGCAUGAACAAUAGGUAAAAGGCGGCUUUUGCUGUCACUUACAGAUGGGCCCGCGUCGCAUUAGCUAGUUGGUGGGGUAAUGGCCUACCAAGGCGACGAUGCGUAGCCGACCUGAGAGGGUGAUCGGCGACACUGGGACUGAGACACGGCCCAGACGCCUACGGGAGGCAGCAGUAGGGAAUCUUCCGCAAUGGACGAAAGUCUGACGGAGCGACGCCGCGUGAGUGAUGAAGGUCUUCGGAUCGUAAAACUCUGUUGUUAGGGAAGAACAAGUAUCGACCUAAUACGUCGGUACCUUGACGGUACCUAACCAGAAAGCCCCGGCUAACUACGUGC
rnacentral:rRNA from 1 species